UGGUGGAGUGAUUUGUCUGGUUAAUUCCGAUAACGAACGAGACUCUAGCCUGCUAAAUAGACGGGCUAUCCCUUCGUGGGUCGACCCGAUUUGCUUCUUAGAGGGACAAGUGGCGUUCCUAGCCACGCGAAAUUGAGCAAUAACA
rnacentral:rRNA from 1 species